rnacentral:rRNA from 1 species
GAUGAACGCUGGCGGCGUGCCUAAUACAUGCCAGUCGAGCGAACAGACGAGGAGCUUGCUCCUCUGAUGUUAGCGGCGGACGGGUGAGUAACACGUGGAUAACCUACCUAUAAGACUGGGAUAACUUCGGGAAACCGGAGCUAAUACCGGAUAACAUGUUGAACCGCAUGGUUCAACAGUGAAAGACGGUCUUGCUGUCACUUAUAGAUGGAUCCGCGCCGCAUUAGCUAGUUGGUAAGGUAACGGCUUACCAAGGCAACGAUGCGUAGCCGACCUGAGAGGGUGAUCGGCCACACUGGAACUGAGACACGGUCCAGACUCCUACGGGAGGCAGCAGUAGGGAAUCUUCCGCAAUGGGCGAAAGCCUGACCGAGCAACGCCGCGUGAGUGAAGAAGGUCUUCGGAUCGUAAAACUCUGUUAUUAGGGAAGAACAAAUGUGUAAGUAACUAUGCACGUCUUGACGGUACCUAAUCAGAAAGCCACGGCUAACUACGUG